rnacentral:rRNA from 1 species
GGGGCUGCGGCGGACGGGUGAAUAACACGUAGGCAACCUGCCCGUAAGCUCGGGAUAACAUGGGGAAACUCAUGCUAAUACCGGAUAGGGUCUUCUCUCGCAUGAGAGGAGACGGAAAGGUGGCGCAAGCUACCACUUACGGAUGGGCCUGCGGCGCAUUAGCUAGUUGGUGGGGUAACGGCCUACCAAGGCGACGAUGCGUAGCCGACCUGAGAGGGUGACCGGCCACACUGGGACUGAGACACGGCCCAGACUCCUACGGGAGCAGCAGUGGGAAGGGUG